GAUGAACGCUGGCGGCGUGCCUAAUACAUGCAAGUCGAGCGAACGGACGAGAAGCUUGCUUCUCUGAUGUUAGCGGCGGACGGGUGAGUAACACGUGGAUAACCUACCUAUAAGACUGGGAUAACUUCGGGAAACCGGAGCUAAUACCGGAUGAUAUUUUGAACCGCAUGGUUCAAAAGUGAAAGACGGUCUUUCUGUCACUUAUAGAUGGAUCCGCGCUGCAUUAGCUAGUUGGUAAGGUAACGGCUUACCAAGGCAACGAUGCAUAGCCGACCUGAGAGGGUGAUCGGCCACACUGGAACUGAGACACGGUCCAGACUCCUACGGGGAGCAGCAGUAGGGAAUCUUCCGCAAUGGGCGAAAGCAUGACGGAGCAACGCCGCGUGAGUGAUGAAGGUCUUCGGAUCGUAAAACUCUGUUAUUAGGUAAGAACAUAUGUGUAAGUAACUGUGCACAUAUUGACGGUACCUAAUCAGAAAGCCACGGCUAACUACGUG
rnacentral:rRNA from 1 species